rnacentral:rRNA from 1 species
UGAACGCUGGCGGCGUGCCUAAUACAUGCACGUCGAGCGAACAGACGAGGAGCUUGCUCCUCUGACGUUAGCGGCGGACGGGUGAGUAACACGUGGAUAACCUACCUAUAAGACUGGGAUAACUUCGGGAAACCGGAGCUAAUACCGGAUAAUAUAUUGAACCGCAUGGUUCAAUAGUGAAAGACGGUUUUGCUGUCACUUAUAGAUGGAUCCGCGCCGCAUUAGCUAGUUGGUAAGGUAACGGCUUACCAAGGCAACGAUGCGUAGCCGACCUGAGAGAGUGAUCGGCCACACUGGAACUGAGACACGGUCCAGACUCCUACGGGAGGCAGCAGUAGGGAAUCUUCCGCAAUGGGCGAAAGCCUGACGGAGCAACGCCGCGUGAGUGAUGAAGGUCUUCGGAUCGUAAAACUCUGUUAUUAGGGAAGAACAAAUGUGUAAGUAACUAUGCACGUCUUGACGGUACCUAAUCAGAAAGCCACGGCUAACUACGUG